UCAAACUUCCUCGUGUCCCC
rnacentral:miRNA from 1 species